UAACAAGGAUGCCCCUAGUAACUGCGAGUGAAGCGGGAAAAGCUCAAAUUUAAAAUCUGGCGUUUUGUCGCCCGAGUUGUAAUCUGGAGAAGCGUUUUCCGUGCCGGACCGUGUACAAGUUUCUUGGAACAGAGCGUCAUAGAGGGUGAGAAUCCCGUCCAUGACACGGACUCCCGGUGCUUUGUGAUACGCUCUCGAAGAGUCGAGUUGUUUGGGAAUGCAGCUCAAAAUGGGUGGUAAGCUCCAUCUAAAGCUAAAUAUUGGCGAGAGACCGAUAGCGAACAAGUACCGUGAGGGAAAGAUGAAAAGCACUUUGGAAAGAGAGUUAAACAGUACGUGAAAUUGUUGAAAGGGAAACGCUUGAAGUCAGUCGCGUCUUAUUUGACUCAGCCUUGCUUCGGCUUGGUGUAUUUCAAGUAGGAUGGGUCAACAUCGAUUUUGGCCGGUGGACAAGGGGUUAAGGAAUGUGGCACUCUUCGGAGUGUGUUAUAGCCUUUUCUCAUAUACAUCGGUUGGGAUUGAGGCCCGCAGCGCGCCCUUGUGGCCGGAGGUUCGCCUCACGUAACGCGCUUAGGAUGUUGGCAUAAUGGCUUUAAGCGACCCGUCUUGAAACACGGACCAAGGAGUCUAACAUGCUCGCGAGUGUUAGGGUGGAAAACCCUUGCGCGUAAUGAAAGUGAAAGUUGAGAACCUCCGCAAGGGGGUGCAUCGACGCCCGGCCCUGAAGUUUACUGACGGUGCUGCGGUAGAGCGCGUAUGUUGGGACCCGAAAGAUGGUGAACUAUGCCUGAAUAGGGCGAAGCCAGAGGAAACUCUGGUGGAGGCUCGUAGCGAUUCUGACGUGCAAAUCGAUCGUCAAAUUUGGG
rnacentral:rRNA from 1 species